rnacentral:rRNA from 1 species
UACGAAGGGGGCUAGCGUUGUUCGGAAUCACUGGGCGUAAAGGGCGCGUAGGCGGCUUUAUAAGUCGGGGGUGAAAGCCUGUGGCUCAACCACAGAAUUGCCUUCGAUACUGUAGAGCUUGAGACCGGAAGAGGUAAGUGGAACUGCGAGUGUAGAGGUGAAAUUCGUAGAUAUUCGGCAAGAACACCAGUGGCGAAGGCGACUUACU